rnacentral:lncRNA from 1 species
CAGCGGGAUGGACCUGGCCAUCUUCUGAGGGGCCCUUCGUGAUAACGGGCUGCUCAGCAGGAGGAGGUCCUGCAGGUGGUGGCUCAGCAGGAGGAGGUCCUGCAGGUGGUGCUGCAAGGGGUCGGCUGGCCGCAGGGGGGCCGGCAGCAGGGGGACUGCACAGACACAGGCUGGCAGCAGGUGGUGGCCCAGCAGCAGGGCCUGCACACC